GUAGGUGAACCUGCGGAAGGAUCAUUAAAGAGUACCGGAGCUCUCGGGUUCCUACUCCCACCCUAUGAUGACUUUAAAUGUUGCUUUGGCGGACCGGCAAUAUUGCCACCGGCCUAGGCUGGAUAGCGUCCGCCAGAGGAUUUUUAAAUUCCUUUGAAUGUGAAUUCUGAGUCUUUGAAAAUUGAAUCAAAACUUUCAACAACGGAUCUCUUGGCUCUC
rnacentral:misc_RNA from 1 species